GACGAACGCUGGCGGCAUGCCUAAUACAUGCAAGUCGAGCGAACAGAUGAAGUGCUUGCACUUCUGACGUUAGCGGCGAACGGGUGAGUAACACGUAAGGAAUCUACCUAUAAGCGGGGGAUAACAUUCGGAAACGGGUGCUAAUACCGCAUAAUAUCUUCUUCCGCAUGGAAGAAGAUUGAAAGACGGCUCUGCUGUCACUUAUAGAUGACCUUGCGGUGCAUUAGUCAGUUGGUGGGGUAAUGGCCUACCAAGACGAUGAUGCAUAGCCGACCGGGGAGGGUGAUCGGCCACAUUGGGACUGAGACACGGCCCAAACUCCUACGGGAGGCAGCAGUAGGGAAUCUUCCGCAAUGGGCGAAAGCCUGACGGAGCAAUGCCGCGUGAGUGAAGAAGGCCUUCGGGUCGUAAAACUCUGUUAUAAGAGAAGAACAAAUUGUAGAGUAACUGCUACAGUCUUGACGGUAUCUUAUCAGAAAGCCACGGCUAACUACGUGCCAGCCGCCGCAGUAA
rnacentral:rRNA from 1 species